GUGGGAUGGAGAGAUGGAUGGUGCAGCACAUAGACAUGUGCUUUGGUAGGCAAUGAAGAAUGUGUCCGUUCAUUUGUGGUUCCUCAUUUCCCAGGGAAGGGUGCUUGGAGCUCUAUAAAAAGGUCCUGUGUCUCUGAGCUCUUCAGUCACUGACUUGCAUCUCCAUCGUGCUUACAAGUUCUGACUGCUGCACAAGCUUCACUGCAUCAAAAUGUCCUGUUGUGGAAGCCACCGCUGUUCCCGCUGUGGCUGCUCCCCCUGCUGCUGCCGCAGGACCACCUGCUGUUCCCGCUGUGGCUGCUCCCCCUGUUGCUGCCGCAGGACCACCUGCUGUUCCCGCUGUGGCUGCUCCCCCUGCUGCUGCCGCAGGACCACCUGCUGUUCCCGCUGUGGCUGCUCCCCCUGCUGCUGCCGCAGGGUCACCUACUGUUCCCAGUCAUGCUCCUCUUCCCAGCAGUACAAGCGCUGAACACAUUAGAAAUUGCUAAUGAGGAUCUGGAUGCAAAUAACAGUAUGCUAGUCCAGUACCCGGAAACAAAAUCCUUCAUGCUGGUUGCCACCUCAACACCCGGAAUAUUGAGAUUAAUGUCAACACACACACACACAUAUUUAUUGUGCUGAUAUUGCUGACUUAGAUGCCACUUCUUCCUGCCUCCUUCAUGAAAUUGAAGAUUCUUCUCUUCCACCCUACCUGAAAAUCCCAGUGAAGGAGUCUUGGCUUUUUCGUGGCAUUUAUGGUGCUCCUAUUUUCCCUUCAAUGUUUGGGAUGUGAUUGUCUCUUCCUAGUUCUGUAUUAACUCUCCCAAUUAAAUUCUGGAAUCAUA